UCAUUCGGAUUCGCCAUCAUACGUCCAACCGUGCAUUUGAUAUGCAUAUAUAUGCAUCGCGAGCCACGGUUGGGCUGUAUGAUGGCGAUACCGAUUGG
rnacentral:pre_miRNA from 1 species